rnacentral:rRNA from 1 species
UACGGAGGGGGCUAGCGUUGUUCGGAAUUACUGGGCGUAAAGCGCACGUAGGCGGACCGGAAAGUCAGAGGUGAAAUCCCAGGGCUCAACCUUGGAACUGCCUUUGAAACUAGAUCGCUAGAAUCACGGAGAGGUGAGUGGAAUUCCGAGUGUAGAGGUGAAAUUCGUAGAUAUUGGGAAGAACACCAGUGGCGAAGGCGGCUAACUGGAUCGAUACUGACGCUGAGGUGCGAAAGCGUGGGGAGCAAACAGG